CCUACGGGAGGCAGCAGUAAGGAAUAUUGGACAAUGGUCGCAAGACUGAUCCAGCCAUGCCGCGUGAAGGAUGAAGGCCCUAUGGGUUGUAAACUUCUUUUGUAUGGGAAAAAACCCCUCUACGUGUAGAGGGCUGAUUGUACCAUAAGAAUAAGGAUCGGCUAACUCCGUGCCAGCAGCCGCGGUAAUACGGAGGAUCCAAGCGUUAUCCGGAUUCAUUGGGUUUAAAGGGUGCGUAGGCGGAAUGAUAAGUCAGUGGUGAAAGCCUGCAGCUUAACUGCAGAACUGCCAUUGAUACUGUCAAUCUUGAGUACAUUUGAUGAGGGCGGAAUGUGUCAUGUAGCGGUGAAAUGCUUAGAUAUGACACAGAACACCGAUUGCGAAGGCAGCUCUCAAAACUGUAACUGACGCUGAGGCACGAAAGCGUGGGUAUCAAACAGGAUUAGAUACCCUGGUAGUCCACGCUGUAAACUAUGAUUACUCGAUGUUUGCGAUACACUGUAAGCGUCUAAGCGAAAGCGAUAAGUAAUCCACCUGGGGAGUACGCUGCAAGAGUGAAACUCAAAGGAAUUGACGG
rnacentral:rRNA from 1 species